rnacentral:rRNA from 1 species
CAGUAGCCGCGGUAAUACGAAGGGGGCUAGCGUUGCUCGGAAUCACUGGGCGUAAAGGGUGCGUAGGCGGGUCUUUAAGUCAGGGGUGAAAUCCUGGAGCUCAACUCCAGAACUGCCUUUGAUACUGAAGAUCUUGAGUUCGGGAGAGGUGAGUGGAACUGCGAGUGUAGAGGUGAAAUUCGUAGAUAUUCGCAAGAACACCAGUGGCGAAGGCGGCUCACUGGCCCGAUACUGACGCUGAGGCACGAAAGCGUGGGGAGCAAACAGGAUUAGAUACCCCAGUAGUCCCUGUCUCUUAUAC